rnacentral:misc_RNA from 1 species
UACGUAGGUGGCGAGCGUUAUCCGGAAUCAUUGGGCGUAAAGGGUGCGUAGGUGGCAGAAUAAGUCUGAAGUAAAAGGCUGCAGCUCAACUGCAGUAUGCUUUGGAAACUGUUCAGCUAGAGUGCGGAAGAGGGCGAUGGAAUUCCAUGUGUAGCGGUAAAAUGCGUAGAUAUAUGGAGGAACACCAGUGGCGAAGGCGGUCGCCUGGUCCGUAACUGACACUGAGGCACGAAAGCGUGGGGAGCAAAUAGG